AUUGAACGCUGGCGGCAGGCCUAACACAUGCAAGUCGAGCGGAGAGGCGGACGGGUGAGUAAUGACUGGGAAUCUGCCUGGUAGUGGGGGAUCACGUACGGAAACGGGCGCUAAUGCCGCAUACUAUCAGAUGAGCCUAGGUCGGAUUAGCUAGGUGGUGGGGUAACGGCUCACCAAGGCGACGAUCCUUAACUGGUCUGAGAGGAUGAUCCGUCACACUGGAACUGAGACACGGCCCAGACUCCUACGGGAGGCAGCAGUGGGGAAUAUUGGGCAAUGGGCGAAAGCCUGAUCGAGCAAUGCCGCGUGUGUGAAGAAGGUCUUCGGAUUGUAAAGCACUUUAAGUUGGGAGGCGUUACCAACCGAAUAAGCACCGGCUAACUUCGUGCCAGCAGCCGCGGUAAUUC
rnacentral:rRNA from 1 species